CCUACGGGUGGCAGCAGUGAGGUAUAUUGGUCAAUGGACGAGAGUCUGAACCAGCCAAGUAGCGUGAAGGAUGACUGCCCUAUGGGUUGUAAACUUCUUUUAUAUGGGAAUAAAAUGUUCCACGUGUGGGAUUUUGUAUGUACCAUAUGAAUAAGGAUCGGCUAACUCCGUGCCAGCAGCCGCGGUAAUACGGAGGAUCCGAGCGUUAUCCGGAUUUAUUGGGUUUAAAGGGAGCGUAGGUGGAUUGUUAAGUCAGUUGUGAAAGUUUGCGGCUCAACCGUAAAAUUGCAGUUGAAACUGGCAGUCUUGAGUACAGUAGAGGUGGGCGGAAUUCGUGGUGUAGCGGUGAAAUGCUUAGAUAUCACGAAGAACUCCGAUUGCGAAGGCAGUUCACUGGACUGCAACUGACACUGAGGCUCGAAAGUGUGGGUAUCAAACAGGAUUAGAUACCCGUGUAGUC
rnacentral:rRNA from 1 species